GUGAAACUGCGAAUGGCUCAUUAUAUCAGUAAUAGUUUAUUUGAUGGUCCCUUACUACUUGGAUACCCGUAGUAAUUCUAGAGCUAAUACAUGCACUACAGUCCCACCUGCUUCGGCGGACGGGAUGUGUUUAUUAGAUCGAAACCAAUGCGGCGCAAGCCGGUGUUGUGGUGAUUCAUGAUAACUUUGCGAAUCGCAUGCCCUCUGUGGCGGCGAUGUUUCAUUCAAGUUUCUGCCCUAUCAGCUUUGGAUGGUAGGGUAUUGGCCUACCAUGGCUUUAACGGGUAACGGGGAAUUGGGGUUCGAUUCCGGAGAGGGAGCC
rnacentral:rRNA from 18 species